UUGUAGGGCAAUGAAUAGCGCGUUAGACUUCUAAUCCAAAAGUCGUGGGUUCUAGUCCCACCUGGAAAG